CCUCAUUUAAGGGUUGGCAGUGGAAACAGGAAUCUUGCUGGAGUUCCAUGUGUACCUGAGGCCUUCUAAAGGCAUAACAACCAGUGAGUGAUACUUCAGAUUUAUGAGUCAUGUGCAUGCAGAAGUGAUGUUCAUCCUGAUGUCCAGACUAAGUUGAAAGUAUGAACAGUGAAAAUGUAGGAACACCAGCAACAACAGCUGUAGUCUGCUAAUCCACUGAUAAAAUCAUAAAGUAUCCAGAAUUCAAAGAGACACACAAGAAUCAUAAAGUCCAACUUGUGGCGUCACACAGGACUACCCAAAAAUCAAACCAUAUUUCUGAGAGCAUUGUUCAAAUCCUUCUUGCAAUCACCCAUUCAGUUAGGAGCCUUUUUGCUAAUGUCCAGUCCUGUAAUGCUGAAGGGAAAAUGAAAGCUUCUGAUAUGUAAUGCACUAUGGUAUAUCUGAUAUUUCCAUAUGUUCUUUUUCCAUUGAAAUAUAAGGUUAGAAUCAGUAUCUGUGAACUGUUCUAAAUGAAGCAACAUAUUAGUUGCCUGACUCAGCUUGAGUGAGAUGUUACAGGCUUUAUGCAAACCUUCUGACCAGCUUUGCAGGCACUUGCCAGUUUAUUUUGACCUCUCUCUAUCAUGGAUAUAAUUUGUUGAAAUCCCAAUCAAACAAGGUGUUGAGACUAUAUUCUCAAAUGCGUUCAGUGCUUCAAUCACUGGAAGAUAAUCUCUUCAGUACUUCCAAGUCUGGACCACAGUGUCUGCAAAUGCCUUAAGUGGGAUUAGAAUGAGUAUCAGUACCAAAGAAAGACUGAAUUAAGAGUUUUCUUCUAAUAUUUUAUGGAAGUCCCUGGAAACAGAAUUAAUUAAAAUUUGUGCCUCUCUAUGGACCUUUUUAACUGGAGUUGAAACAGAAAUAACUGCAGUGUAUUGUGUUCUGACAUUCUCUGGUAUAUGCUUCUGGUCAUAUCAGUGUGUGUAACUGAACAAAUCUUAGGGGUAUAUAGUGUCAAAAGUCAGACAGGGAACCAUAACCAGCAGCCCUUGCUGUAAUGGAGGAAAGAAUCUGCUCACGACAGUUUCAUGUCUCCUGCAAAAGGCUUAGAAGUGUGUAGGAUAAAUUCUUUGAGCAUCACAGUGGAUUUAUGCUUCUGAUUGGUUUUCUUGCUAUAUUUUUUUUUUAGUACUGAGUCUCUCUUCCAUUCUGAACCUCUACUGAACUUUAUGACAAAUAAGAUAUAACACAUAGUGUCAUGGGAAAAAUUGUGCAGCCAAGGUAUUUUUUGGUAUGUUCUUCAUGAACUGAUUACAAUUUCUAUAAUUUGCCGGAUGCCAUAACUGUUCAUACUCCUUCCCAACUCCUGACAGUACUAAUGAGGUACUUGGAAGAGAGGUGCUGCUUCACUCUGUGGAGCCAAGACCCCAGCCAUCUAACUGGGAGAUGGAAAACUGCAAACUGUGAGUCUGCAGGAAGGGGGAAAGAUGGAGAUGUCAGUAAUCAGAGAUAGUUUAUGUUGGUAAUAUAUAGAAACCUUUUAAUUUCAUUGUAGGUUAUGAAAUGUCUACAAUGAAUAUGUAUAGUCAUUUUUUAGGUAUGUGUUGAAUCGUGAAAAAGAUGGUUAACGUACUAUUUCUGAAAAUAAAAAGUCAUAUAUCACCUUAAGUCAUAUAUGAGAACAUCUCAGAUUAGGGCAGUGUUACUUUCCAGUUUCAUCAGGUUAUGUAACUCAACUUUCAGCAGCCAUCAGUUGUGUGUUGAGUUGUGAACAUUAAGUAAUAAUAGGUACUCUUCUAGAAGACUGUAAUUUUUUUUUGCCUCUCGAGGGAGUGUUUAUAGAUCAACACAUCACUACCCAAAAUCAUGAUAGCUUAAAGAAUGAACUGUUAUGAGGACUUUAUGACGAAGUCCCAGGAAGAGCUUAACUGCUAGAAGAACUGAGCUUGGAGAAGCAAAGCUUUGCAAUACUUUAAAUACUGAUCAUAACUCUACAACAUAACAAACCAUUUAUGAUGAGCCUCACCAGUUACUCAGCUUCAAAAAGCAAAACAUUAGAGAUUUCUCAAAGAUGUAAAGAGUGACUCUGUGAGAUGCCUUCAUCUGUGUCCUCUGCCUCUGAAUGUCUCUGCAGUGCCAGCUUAACAACAUGUGUCCAUGCUUUUGGCUGAUGGGCAAAUGACAAAAAGCUUUGACUUCAUCCAGAGACAUUUUAACUUUUUCUGAAUGUGGUCUAUUAAGAGGAUUUUGCUUAAAGUGGAGAACUGCACCAAUGUUUGUGUAACUGCUCUGAAGUCUUGCUUGCUGCCAACCUAUAGGAAACCAAGCUUCCUACUGGGUGUGGGUUUUCCUCUCCAUUUAUCCUAUGGAGCUUAACUUGAGGACUACAAUUGGUCAUGAGUCUUUUCUUACCUUUCUGUUCAAUUCUGUUAACUUAUCCCCUUUGGAUUUUGGUCAUGUGUUGCUGUAUAUGAUUUUCGUUUUAUCAAAUGUUUCCCUGACUGCAUUCAUUCUUGUCUUCAUUCUGUGUCCCUUUUGGUUUAUAAACAGUUUUUCAAAAGAAAAAAUGAUGAAUGUAUAAUGGUAAAAUGCUCCAGAAUUGAGACAACCUCUUUUCAUUGUGGUGUCUUCAUACCUGAAAUUUAUGAUCACUUUUAUGUGCCUGUUUUACUACAAUCAUGAGUAGUAAUGGUCCAAACUUAGUCCUGAACAAUUGUUUUCAUCAAUCUGACUGCUAAUAAAGCCUGCAAUUACUGUGUCUCUAAAAUCAGUACCUGAUAUUAUGAAAUAAUGCAUUAAAUGUGAAACAGCUCAAACUUAAUAACAAUUAGAUUUAUUUGUAUCUGGACUUGUUUCAAUUUAGUAAUCUCAACUUGUGGUCAUUAGGAACACCUUCAGUGUCAAGUGUGGUAUUUCCAUUUACUGUAUCUAAAAAAUAUAUUAGCAGUUGUGUAUGUAUAUGGAAAACAUGUAACAUCUUAAUCUAAUGGAAGAUGUACUGUAAUGUAACAGAACAUUAUUAGUGAAUCCAAUUGGUUGCUGCAUGGAUUUCCACUUCCAGCCUUUGGGUUAAGGGCUCCUUCUUCCUGUGCUGGUUGGGUGGUGGGGCUCAGUUGGAGACCUUGGGCUUUAUAUGAGUGUGAAUGAUAUGUACAUCUUCCAAUUUGUAUUUUCCUCUAUGGAAGAGGAAAAUCUUUUAGCACAAGAGAGGAGCACAUUAGACAACUCAGCAAUGUUAGAUAAAUGAGUGGUACAGUCUUUGUGUAUGUAUUCUGUGCUGCUUUUCCACCUGGAAAAUAAUAUAGUAGAAUUGAAGUGUAUCUGUGUAUGUAAAAAAAAAAAUAAUCAAUGAAAAUAGCCAGUUUAGGACUGAUUACUUUUAAGAAGAGGGGAAAGAAAUAAUAAAAUGACAAAUGACGUGAUGAAAGAAAGUAGGAGCUUCAUUUCUUCUGCUCUCACAAUGUGCAAAAUAUUGAAAGUCUAUUACAUGAAAAGCAGGAUAUUCCAGCACGAUAAAAGCAUAAGCAUUUCCAUACAGUAUGCAACUAGAGUGGAGAACCAUUAGCACAGGAAAUUAAGGCCAAAGCCCCUGUUGAAGCAAUCAGAACAGGUACAUAGCCAUCAGGAGAAUGAUGAUAACAUUUUAGAGAAGGAUAUUAAUUUUAUUCUAGCAGAACACUAGACAUCAGUGGUAUCUAAUAAGAUUUCCACGCUAUUCCUGUUGCAAAUUUAUCUUUGCUUACGCAGUCUGAUCCCUCCAGAAUCUGAAGUUCCAUGUUGUGAAGGUAUUCUGUAAUAGGUUAUUUGGGAAUUACUGCUCAUGU
ensembl:lncRNA